rnacentral:tRNA from 1 species
UUUAGGUGCUCUUCCUUGGCAAGGAAGAGGUCGAGAGUUAGAGUCUCUUAGCUCGCACCA